rnacentral:rRNA from 1 species
UACGAAGGGGGCUAGCGUUGCUCGGAAUCACUGGGCGUAAAGGGUGCGUAGGCGGGUUUUUAAGUCAGGGGUGAAAUCCUGGAGCUCAACUCCAGAACUGCCCUUUGAUACUGAAGAUCUUGAGUCCGGGAGAGGUGAGUGGAACUGCGAGUGUAGAGGUGAAAUUCGUAGAUAUUCGCAAGAACACCAGUGGCGAAGGCGGCUCACUGGCCCGGUACUGACGCUGAGGCACGAAAGCGUGGGGAGCAAACAGG